rnacentral:rRNA from 1 species
GACGAACGCUGGCGGCGUGCCUAAUACAUGCAAGUCGAACGCAGUGGGGACGGGUGAGUAACACGUGGGUAACCUCCCAUCAGAGGGGAUAACCCUUGGAAACAGGUGCUAAACCGAUACGGAUGGAGGAACCAGGGGUGCAUUAGCUUGUUGGUGGGGUAACGGCUCACCAAGGCCACGAUGCAUAGCCGGCCUGAGAGGGUGAUCGGCCACACUGGGACUGAGACACGGCCCAGACUCCUACGGGAGGCAGCAGUGGGGAAUCUUUGGCAAUGGACGAAAGUCUGACCGAGCAACGCCGCGUGAGUGAAGAAGGUUUUCGGAUCGUAAAGCACUGUUGUUAGAGAAGCGGUAUCUAACCAGAAAGCCACGGCUAACUACGUGCCAGCAGCCGCGGUAAUAC